rnacentral:misc_RNA from 1 species
GGUAUCCAUUUCAAAAUUGACAUAAUAUGAGACUGAUCUUGAAAAACUCUCAAGUUACAAUCUACACCGCAAAAAAAAUGUCCAAUAGCUUUUGCUAUUCCUAGAAAAAAUAUAUAUAACAGUUGAUAUAACAAUAAUGGGGGUAUAGGGAAAAUACAAAGAAGCUAAUAAAGGAAAAGACCUGCCAAGAAUGAUGAGCUCAGGAACCGGUUCUCAUCCAUUGAAUAACUUCCUAAAUGGCCCGUCCUUGCGAUCUUUUGCAGCUUCUGUCAACGCGAGGAAUCUCUUAAAGCCUGUGGUAGCUGCACCUCUUCCAAGAGCAGCUGCUCUUGUCAGCACAUCUUCUCUUGAAGUGAUAGCCCCAGGUGAUGCUGCAGUAUUAGUUAUGACUGGUGCUAUUGAGGUGUUCGGGGCAGAUGAAGGGGCCAUAAUGGUCGGCUGAGAGAUGCCCGACCCACGUUUGUUGAAGUCAUCCAGUAUGCUCUGCUGAUCAGCUUUUUUCAGGCCCUUAAGCUCCAAAAGACGCUGAAACUCUGUGAGUGUUCCCUCUGGCAGCAGCGCACAGUAUGUAUCCGCCACAGAAUCUAUUGGAGACAGUAUGACCUUCAAUAAUGCUUCUGCUUUGCUCAUCUCACGACUGACAAAUUUUGAAUAGCUAGCAGCUCCUGCUGUUUGUUUUCCCAGAGAAGGAAUUUCCAGCAAAAUAGUCUUUACCGCUUGUGUAUCUAAAAGCAUCUGCUGUGCUCCAGUCUCUGAUAUCUGUUUGCAUUUGAAGAUAUUGUGAUAGAACCGUGGACCAAGAGAUGAUGCAAGCUUAUCCAGGAAGAACUGGAAGUAAAUAGGAGACAGAAGGCUUCCAAGCACUGGAAUGCUACUGGUAAGGAUCAAAUUUAUGCCAUUGACAUAGUCUGACUGAUCACCAACACUUUCGAGAGUACUCCAUGGAACCCGAGUCAUUGCAGCCAUUUCAGAGUCAAACUUUGUUUCUAUUCCAUGCACUAAUGUAAUCAAAGAUUUUGUAAUAACUGCUGAAAAUUCAUCCUGUACUUCAGACAUAUCCACUCUAUCCGCAAAUUGAGCAUCAAUCAGUUUCGACACAUUAUCCGCUAAUUCUCCGCACGUUUUGUGACAAUACUCUGCAGUAUUUACUAUGUAGCAGAUAACCCUUUCAUCCUUGUCCGAAGUCUUAAUCUGUCCUUCGAUUCCUGUGGCAGCUGCAACAAUUCCUGUACCACCCUUUGGCAAUCUAGCGAAAAGUUUUGUAGCAUAAGCUUUAAGAACUUUUUGAAAUGCCUUAAAGAGAUUAAACAAUGUCUGGUUUCUCGUCAAAGCACUGCAUCUCUUCAAGCUCCUCCUGAUGAUUACAAAGACCUUAAUGCUGCUAGACAAAAUAUUAGUCUGACUUCCCUCCUCAAUUUCCCACGUCUCUUCCAGCAUUUCUUUUUCCAAACUAUCCAUUAGAGUCUUCUCUUCCAGCUCUAUAUAAACUGACAAGUGAGGUUCAAAGCACGAUGAGAUAAUCCCUCUGAAAUUGAAACCAGCUCCCGGCACUGAUGAAUCUUUUUGUCCAUCUUGCUCUUCAUUUUGACUACCAUCAUGAGCAGCAAGCUUUUUCUCAUACUUUUUUCGAAUAUCUGAAACUGUCUGACUCUUAUUUCCACUCCUUUCUGUUUCUUCAUUGUCAUCUACAGAAUCUUUACUGCGGAUUCCACCACCAAAUUUCUCUGCCAACUCCUCUUCAAAUUCCAAAGUGCGCUGCAGAGCUGUCAACAAGGUUGCUACAUCUGGCUUUUCUUUCAUACUAACAAGGAUUUCCACAAGUUGAGACCUUGUCAACUUGCAGAACUGAAUGCAAAGCAAAUAAUCGACGUGCCAUGAACGAGGGAAAAUUUUCCAAAUUUCCUCAUUCGUUCUUAGCCGACGCUUGAUCCAAGCAUAUCUUCUUUCAGUUUUGUCCAACUUAGCUAGUUCUGCUCCUUCAAAUAUCUGCUGGUACGAGGUGAGUUCUCUAUUACAAAAAUUUUUCACUAGCUCUUCUCUAACUGAAGGCUCGAGAGCAUCAACAACUAAGCAGGCGUCUGAUAACUGUUGUAAUAGGUUACUUUCUUCUGUCUCCUUCCCUGUGCCUAAACUGGAGAAGUCAGAGAACACAUGUGACUUGAGGACUUGUUUGAUGCUUUUGAACUUUUCUCUAAGUUCUGUAAUCUUAGGAAUAUCCCUAUAGGCGUCGAAAUGACUACAGAGCUGGUUUACAGCCUCAAGCUGUGCUGCCGCCUCUUUAUAGUGACGUUUGGAAGCCAUUACUUGUAGUUGCUCUACUGCAGAGACUAGCAUGGUUAGGCGGUGAAGGGCAGUAAUUGUUGUUGUUAUGUGUUUCUUUGCAAAAUCCAAUUUCUUAAUAUCACGACAUAUUUCCUGAACCAUUGUUUCACUUUGCUCUGCUUUGGUCUUAAUUUCUCGAAUCUUAUUCAUGAGUUCCUGCACAGCACUAGUAGCUGCAGCAAGAUCUUCUCUGGCUUUGGUUCCAGAGUUACUCUGUUGCCGGACAGCCGUCAAUAUUUCAGCAUCAACACGACGAAUUUCACUAUGUAUCUUCUGCAUAAGGGGCUCAACACCAGAUAGAGAUGCUUCUGUAGGAAACAUCUGGUUGAUGUAAUCCAACGUGUUCUGCUUGUCGGAUGCCGCCAUGAGAUCUCCUGCUGAAGCUGCACCAGCUAAGGAAGCUGCCAAGCCGUGUCACUGACACGGGUAAGGGUGUGUGAUCUUCAAUUCUGCUGCUAUAUAGCAAUUUAUACUAAUCCUUUUGAAGCUUUUUUCUCGAUUAUUCUUCUGGUUCAUGUGCCCUGUCGCAGAUAAAUCUUCUUCUGGUUGUUCAUGGGGAAGAAAAUGGAAAAAAG